rnacentral:lncRNA from 1 species
AUUUGCUUAAAUAACACAAGAAUCCAGAGAUAGUUCUGGCUUCAGGGAUGACUUGAUCCAAAAGCUAAAGUGAUGUUAACAGAACUGUCUUCCUUUCUCAGCUUCCUUUCUUCUAGGAUGGCUUGAUCAGGAGGCUCUUCAGGUGUGGCUGCCAGCAGUACCAAACUUUUCCUUACAACUUAGCAACUCUAUUCCAGCAAAGUCCCAGGCUAGUCACAUGCCAUGCUAAUUUCUGAAUCUGUCACCAUGACUCUGUCCAAGUCUGGCUUCUGUCGAGCUCUGAAGCCAGAACGUGAAAUUGGCCCCAUGAAACCACAUGGCCCGAAGGACCAAGUCUUUGCAAAACCUAUCAAAUGGAUGGAUGGCUUCAAGACAGCAGAGAACCCACAAGCUUGAAGAGGCCUCCGGAGAGUUCACUCAGGAUAAACGGGGUGCUGGCAUCGUCCUGGUCCUCUCUGUACAGUAACAGUGUUACAGCCCUGUGAGUUCAGUAGUAAAGGAUCUGGAGUCCAUGGGGAAAUUCUAAGGAGAUCAAUGGAACUGAUAUAUUAUAUAGCCAAAUACUUAUUAAUAAAGUAACCAUCCUUAUAAAGGCUGAUUUAGGCAAGCCUCUGCCUUCAGGAGGAAGUUCACUGAAACAAACCUGGCAGAUUGAUGACUCUGUCUUUCAAAUCUCCAGGAAAUAUGGUUUCAUAAUUUUUCUUUAUCACCUAGCCCCAACUUUAAUUUUCAUAAUUCAGUGUGUAAAGCACUGUGCCAGGUUUCUAGUGAGUACACAAUGAGGAAGCCAUACUCUUUGCAUUCAAGAGUUUAUAUAGUUAUACAAAAGCACUUACUAAUGACAAUAUCAGCAACUAACAUUUGAAUGCUUACUAUGUGCUUGGAACUUUAUCUCCUUUAAACCAACAAUAGCCCCAUUAAGUGGGUAAUAUUAUUAGUCCCAUUCUACAGAUGAAAAAACCAAGGCUCACGUAAGUUACAUGAUUUACUAAGGGUCACACAACUGGAAUGGUGGAAUUGAGAUUUAAUCCAGGCAGUCUAUGCCUGUUUAGCAAGUUCUGUUACAGAAGCAUAAGAAAAAGAGACACAAAGCACAAAAGAUUAGAUAUAUUUCAAAUAUGGGAGGACUUUAAAACUGAGAGGAGGUGGUACAGACACAACCGGGGCAGGGAGCAGGUUGUAGUGAAUCUAGAAUGGAGAACAGGCUGGUUGUCAGUAAGAAGUGACGAGAGAGAGAGGUGGGAAAUGACUGAACAGAGAGCUUGAAGCCAGAUCACGAAAGCUUGUCAAAGCUAUGCUAAAGGAGUUUGGAUUUCAUUCUGUAGACAAUGGGAAUGACAGAAAUGUGAACAUGGAAAUAAUAUGCUUUCUUUUGUGUUAUGAGUAUCUUGGCAGAAUUGAUUUGGAUGGAUCAGAGUGAAUGGAGACCAGUUGAAGGAAGACUGGUUCAAUGGCUAGAGAAUAUGAAUGUUGGUCUUAAGUCCAAGGCCCACAUGUCAAAGACGAGUGCUCUGCUGAUAUCUAGUUGAGUGACUUUGGAAAAGUCUGAGGCCUCGAUUUCCUCACCUGGAAAGUGAAAACACUGGACAUGCUCUUUGACAUUUCAUCCAGCACUGAAAUUUUAUAGUCUUGUGAAAAAUCUCUUCUUGAAAUGUUAUCUUGGGUGGUCUUAGAUUGUGUGUGACUGGAACUGGGGCUGAUUUGUAAAACCCUUGAAUGUGCUUGAAAAUACCAACCCACAGUGUUUUCUUCUCCUGGGAAAAGAACCAAAACUCUUAAAAAAUAUACAUUGUGCUUUCUAUCUUUAAUACCAUUUAUAAAUAACUACCUUUAUUUUUGUUGCUGGGUAACUGUGACCCAGAAGAGUUGACUUUGCAUAAAAGGAACCCAGAGUCCUCUAGUCUUGGUGUUUUUCCUAUAAUCUUCUCAUAGUGGCUAGAAUAGAGAUGAUAGAAGAAUAAGUCAAAAUAAAGUAUUUUUGAACCCAUGUUGUUUUCAAAGCCACUGUGUUACCUUUUCCUAAGGUAUUACCAAAUAGAAAAAGUGUCCCCUCCACCAUAGCAGCUCAGCAUAAAUCUACCAUUACAAUUUCCAAUUGACCUAUUCAUUAAUGUUUAUAGAAAAUAACCCCCCAAAAACCUCUAAUCUGUGUUACAAAUCAGGAGAAGAUUUAGAUGAUGUGAAGAUAGGGUAGGGUGACCAACUUAUCCUAGUUUGCCUGGAACUUUCCCAGACAUAGUACUUCAAGUCUCACCUCCAAGGAAACCCCUUAAUCUUAGAACCCAAGAACAUCUAAAUCUUACCAUGUCUUAAUCCUCCAAUUCCCCAGGAGGCUCCUCAAAAGGCCACACAAGGAAGAAUCAGCAGCAAACUGUAAAUAUUUUAUUAUUAUUAUUCGGUUGGGCUAAUCUUGACACCCCCAGAGAGAGCUAUAGUUAAGCUGUGACAGGGCCUAAAGGCCUCUGUAUUUGCUCCUCCAGCCCAUACUUUAAGAUUUUAAAAGCUAAGAUCUUUUGGCCUGGAGUAAAGUAGAAACAGAAGACUGAAGCAAAGAUGGACUUGGGUCUAUGUGCAAGGAAGAAAGAAUAGAAAGAUAGUUGGCUUGAGGGCUUUGGCUUGGUUUCUCUCUCCUAGCUCAUGGAAGCAUGACGCAGAAGGGAAAGCCACAUGUAUGUGGUCUUUUAUUGCUGAGUGACUCUUGGGUAAUCAUGGCCUAAUCCACGUCCUGGAAUAUUAAUGGCAUCUCUUCUCUAGCGGUGAGCAAAGAGUGGGAGUGGAAGAAGAUAGGGAAAGACCGCCCUCACCCCCCAAUGCCAACAACAAAAAACCAACCCAAGAGGCAUGGAAGUGGCACUUGUGAAUAUGUGAAACCUCCAUAAGAAAUCAAUUUUUUAAAUGAAGCUUAUUUCAAAGUAAUAGAAGCCUUUUUAGUUUCUUUAGUAGACAAUUUAUUUUGAUAAACUUGCUCAAUAACAAAAAUACAAGUGAGGAAAAUUAUGUUCAUUUUAUACAGUUGUAUUAAC